UAGCAUACGCUUGUCUCAAAGAUUAAGCCAUGCAUGUCUAAGUAUAAACAAAUCUAUACGUGAAACUGCGAAUGGCUCAUUAUAUCAGUUAUAGUUUAUUUGAUGGUUCUUGCUACUUGGAUAACCGUAGUAAUUCUAGAGCUAAUACAUGCGUCAAACCCCGACUUCUGGGAGGGGUGUAUUUAUUAGAUGGAAACCAAUGCGGGGCAACCCGGUAUAUGGUGAUUCAUAAUAACUUUCGGAUCGAUCUUCGGAUCGAUGCAUCAUUCAAGUUU
rnacentral:rRNA from 1 species